AUCUUCUUGAAACCUUAACUCUGCCUACAGGUUUUCUUGCACAGUGUACUUCACACUUACAUGAUGUGAAGUUCUGGAUCAAUACACUUACAUCAUUUUCUUUCCUAAUUCACAGAGAAUUCAGUCCUGUUCUUCCUAAAUCAACAGCAGAAGGAUGUGAACCACAGAAUGGUGAUGAAUGACCAAGGUACCAGCUGAAAAAGACGAGGAUUGAGAAUACUCUGCCCUGUUCUUCAGCUGGCUUGUUUGAAAUGCAAUGAGUAGAACAGAGAAGCAUGUGCUGCACAACUAUCUGUGAAGAGAUUCUUACACUUAGGGACCUUUGGAAUCUGUACUGGGUUCACAUGGCAGGCGAAGAACUGAAUCUCAACAGUGGAGUGACUGCCUCUGAUUUACAGAUUUCUCAAAGGAGCCAACACCAAACCCACAUCCCAUCUGCAGAAGAAAGAAUUGUCCCCAGAGUUAUGGCCUUCUUGGAGCUUUAUGGGGCCUUUGAAGUGUGACUCAAGUCA
ensembl:lncRNA